rnacentral:rRNA from 1 species
CAGUGAAAUUGAACUCGCUGUGAAGAUGCAGUGUACCCGCGGCAAGACGGAAAGACCCCGUGAACCUUUACUAUAGCUUGACACUGAACAUUGAGCCUUGAUGUGUAGGAUAGGUGGGAGGCUUUGAAGUGUGGACGCCAGUCUGCAUGGAGCCGACCUUGAAAUACCACCCUUUAAUGUUUGAUGUUCUAACGUUGACCCGUAAUCCGGGUUGCGGACAGUGUCUGGUGGGUAGUUUGACUGGGGCGGUCUCCUCCUAAAGAGUAACGGAGGAGCACGAAGGUUGGCUAAUCCUGGUCGGACAUCAGGAGGUUAGUGCAAUGGCAUAAGCCAGCUUGACUGCGAGCGUGACGGCGCGAGCAGGUGCGAAAGCAGGUCAUAGUGAUCCGGUGGUUCUGAAUGGAAGGGCCAUCGCUCAACGGAUAAAAGGUACUCCGGGGAUAACAGGCUGAUACCGCCCAAGAGUUCAUAUCGACGGCGGUGUUUGGCACCUCGAUGUCGGCUCAUCACAUCCUGGGGCUGAAGUAGGUCCCAAGGGUAUGGCUGUUCGCCAUUUAAAGUGGUACGCGAGCUGGGUUUAGAACGUCGUGAGACAGUUCGGUCCCUAUCUGCCGUGGGCGCUGGAGAACUGAGGGGGGCUGCUCCUAGUACGAGAGGACCGGAGUGGACGCAUCACUGGUGUUCGGGUUGUCAUGCCAAUGGCACUGCCCGGUAGCUAAAUGCGGAAGAGAUAAGUGCUGAAAGCAUCUAAGCACGAAACUUGCCCCGAGAUGAGUUCUCCCUGACUCCUUGAGAGUCCUGAAGGAACGUUGAAGACGACGACGUUGAU